CGCAGCAGCAGGCCUCUACACUCAUUGAGAGUGGGCUCCUGAAUCCCCCUGUGGUUGGCGGUUGCAGUAAAACAUAAAUAUAUACUACAUACUGUAUAUUUUUUUAUUUCUCCGGGGCCCAGGGGCAAUAGCCCAGAGCCAGAGAGGGAAAAUCACUUUCAUCUGGAGAAGCUCGUCCGUUAACACGGGGCGGCCCAUCUGCAGCUCCCCGCUGUUCCUAAAAGAAAGAUUAAGGAUUUGAGUUGGCCUGACGGAGAGAUCUUCCAGGCGGCUCCGGCCCAUGGAGGAUGCAGAGCAUCACAUCAGAUCAAACAUUGAUAAACCAGUACUUUACCAGCGUUUUAUCAAUAUCUUUAAAGGACGGGGAGUUUUUGCCACUGAAUUCAUAUCCAAAGGAGACUUUGUUGUGGAGUACCGAGGUGAACUGCUUACACAACAGGAGGGCGAGGUCCGAGCUGAUCAGUACAAUGAUUCUGCAAAGGUGUUUCUUUUCGAUAUUCAAUGGAAAGGAAGAACAUGGUGCAUUGAUGCAUCUGAAGAAGACUCCUCCCUUGGGAGACUCGUUAAUGAUGAUCACUAAAGACUCAAUCUCAAAAUGAAAGCCAUACAAGCAAAUGAUGAGCCACACUUGUGCCUCUUCGCGACUCGAGAUAUUGCAGCUGGCGAGGAGUUGACUUAUAGUUACGGUGAUUCAGACUGGCCAUGGAGAACACAGGUCAUCAAAACUGAAUUGUCGUCCAGCCCAAAACCUGACCAUACAAACGCUUCACACCGCGUGGCCGCGGCCACCC